rnacentral:rRNA from 1 species
GGGGAAUAUUGGACAAUGGGCGCAAGCCUGAUCCAGCCAUGCCGCGUGAGUGAUGAAGGCCCUAGGGUUGUAAAGCUCUUUCACCGGUGAAGAUAAUGACGGUAACCGGAGAAGGAGCCCCGGCUAACUUCGUGCCAGCAGCCGCGGUAAUACGAAGGGGGCUAGCGUUGUUCGGAAUUACUGGGCGUAAAGCGCACGUAGGCGGAUCGGUCAGUUAGGGGUGAAAUCCCAGGGCUCAACCCUGGAACUGCCUUUAAUACUGCCGGUCUGGAGUUCGAGAGAGGUGAGUGGAAUUCCGAGUGUAGAGGUGAAAUUCGUAGAUAUUCGGAGGAACACCAGUGGCGAAGGCGGCUCACUGGCUCGAUACUGACGCUGAGGUGCGAAAGCGUGGGGAGCAAAC